GAUGAAGAACGUAGCGAAAUGCGAUACUUGGGGUGAAUUGCAGAAUCCCGUGAACCAUCGAGGCUUUGAACGCAAGUUGCGCCCGAAGCCAUCAGGUUGAGGGCACGUCUGCCUGGGCGUCACAUAUCGUUGCCCAAUGCCUAUUGCAGUGCAAUAGGAAUUUCUAGGGCGAAUGAUGGCUUCCCGUGAGCGUUGUUGCCUCGCGGUUGGUUGAAAAUCGAGUCCUUGGUAGGGUGUGCCAUGGUAGAUGGUGGUCGAGUUAGAACGAUACCGAUCAUGUGCAUGCUCCCCAAAAUAUGGCCUCUAUGACCCACACGCGUCUUUUGACGCUCAUGACGAGACCUCAGGUCAGGCGGGGCUACCCGCUGAAUUUAAGCAUAUCAAUAAGCGGAGGA
rnacentral:misc_RNA from 1 species